GACGAACGCUGGCGGCGCGCUUAACACAUGCAAGUCGAGCGAAGCGGCGGACGGGUGAGUAACACGUGAGUAACCUGCCUUAGACAUUGGGAUAGCCUCGGGCAACCGGGAUUAAUACCAAAUGGUCUAAGAUGGACUCGCGUCCCAUUAGCGAGUUGGUGAGGUAACGGCCCACCAAGGCGACGAUGGGUAGCCGGCCUGAGAGGGUGAACGGGCACAUUGGAGCUGAGAAACGGUCCAAACUCUAGGGGUGGAAGCAGUGGGGAAUGUUGAACGAUGGGGGGAACUCUGAUGCAGCGAGGCCGCGUGACUGAGGAAGGCGUUCGAGUCGUAAAGUUCUUUUAUAUGGGAAGCGGUACCAUAAGAAAAAGCCCCGGCUAACUACGUGCCAGCAGCCGCGGUAAUUC
rnacentral:rRNA from 1 species